GACGAACGCUGGCGGCGUGCUUAACACAUGCAAGUCGAACGGAAAGGCCCUGCUUUUGUGGGGUGCUCGAGUGGCGAACGGGUGAGUAACACGUGAGUAACCUGCCCUUGACUUUGGGAUAACUUCAGGAAACUGGGGCUAAUACCGGAGAGGAGCUCCUGCUGCAUGGUGGGGGUUGGAAAGUUUCGGCGGUGGGGGAUGGACUCGCGGCUUAUCAGCUUGUUGGGGGGGUAGUGGCUUACCAAGGCUUUGACGGGUAGCCGGCCUGGGAGGGUGACCGGCCACAUUGGGACUGAGAUACGGCCCAGACUCCUACGGGAGGCAGCAGUGGGGAAUAUUGCACAAUGGGCGGAAGCCUGAUGCAGCAACGCCGCGUGCGGGAUGACGGCCUUCGGGUUGUAAACCGCUUUCGCCUGUGACGAAGCGUGAGUGACGGUAAUGGGUAAAGAAGCACCGGCUAACUACGUG
rnacentral:rRNA from 1 species